UCAGUCCGCCGAGGCACAAGGCCUUGCUCGGAGUCGCACAGAGCAGCUAUGGCCUAGGCUGCUCAAUACAGCAGGACUGCAGACAGCAAGGGUGAAUUGACUCCGUGCCACAAUGUCUGGGGCUCCAGCUGCAAAACUCAAAAUCUAGGGACUGGCAUCAUCUGAAGGCUGCCACCCACACAUGCUGGCCAUCCAUUAGGGGCCUAGGUGGGGCUGUCAGCUGAAACCCUCACAAGUGGCCUCUCCUGGUGGCAUGCGCUCCUCAACAUAAUGGCUGGGUUCCACGGACAAGCAUCGAGAGAGAGAGAGAGAACGGGGGAGAGAAUGCCAGGUGGAAGCCAUGUUUCCUGUUAUGACCAGCCUCAGAAAUUUUGCAAUAUCACUUUGGCCACCAGGUAUGAAGGUCUGCCCAAGUUCAAGGGUAGAGAAAAGUCAGUGGCCCACUGUGACGAGAGCAUACAGAGAAAUACAAUCUGCCAGUGUAUUGGUCUGUUCUCAUGCUGCUAUAAAGAACUGCCCAAGACUGGGCAAUUUAUAAAGGAAAGAGGUUUAAUUGACUUGCAGUUCCAUGUUGCUGAGGAGGCCUCAGGAAACUUACAAUCAUGGUGGAAGGCGAAGGAGAACCAGGCCCCUUCUUCACAGGGUGUCAGGAUGGAGUGAGUGAGAGCAGGGGAAAUGCCAGAUGCUUAUAAAACCAUCAGCUCUCAUGAGACUCACUCACUAUCACAAGAACAGCAUGGGGGAAACCACCCUCGUGGUCCAGUUACCUCCAUCUAGUCCCUGCCUUGACACACAGGGAUUAUGGGGAUUAAAAUUCAAGAUGAGAUUUGGGUGGAGAAACAGCCAGUUACCAGGUAAGUUGCCCCUGUGGACAAUUGGAGCAUUAUCCCACUAGGGAGCUCUGCGUGACAGCAUGGAACACUCAUGUCGGGGUUACCACACCUGAGGGGUCAAGUAGACAGUGUUGUCUGUCUUUGAAAGCCACACUGGAGGGUGGGCCUUAAGUUUCUGGCACUUCCGGCCUACAGGACACACAGUCACAGAGCCAGCUCUGGUUGCUAGAGAAAGCCACCAGGCAAAGAGACGAAAGCUGGGACCGUGUGUCAGCACGUAAGACUGGAUGGACACUGUGAGGCGCUGACAGUUUCUGUGUGGAAAUCAAUCACUGGCAAGAGAACGGAGCCACUGCGAAUGACUUAGAUUAAUCCAAAUGUAUCACCCAGUCUUCCCUUAAGCCGGUGCUAAGUUGGGAUUCUGUUGGAAAGGAAGGAGACAUGAUGAGUAUUUCUGCUGCCACAUACACAUUUAUCAAGCAAUCACUAUAGGCCAAGGACUGUGCCACAUGCUCAGAUGUGACGUCAGCUGGGAUGGAGUUAAACACAACAGGCUUGGGAAAACCUGUGUUGAAGAUGCAGAUGCUUCCUCAACCUGGGUCCCUGAAUUACCUCAUGGAAAACCAGUACAUAUUUGGGUCUAUUUGUUUUUGUUUUUGUUUUGAGAUGGAGUCUCACUGUGCUGCCCAGGCUGGAA
rnacentral:lncRNA from 1 species